GUCCGUCUUCCAAACGUCAUAAUCAACAGCCCAAGAUGGUAAUGGCUUCAACUGGUGAAAGUGAGUGGUUUUCACACAAUCGUUCAGUAUGGUUGGAGAAGCCCAGGUUGCUUCUACUUCUUUGUCAACACAUGGCCUGGUCAACACGAGAGGGGAGGUGAACCCUGCCAGCCACGUUCAUCACGGCUCCUCGGCUUUCAGUGGCCCAAACGAAUUCGCAAGAGCUGAGCCUGACUGCAAAGGGGGACCCAGAGGGGUCAACGAUGGAAUGUUUUAUGCUUACCAGGUUUGGCACUGUGAAACUUCUCCUGCACCUAAAUCUAAUUUUACACCUUUCCAAGUUCAAAGUUUAUGUUUCCUGUGGAACCAGCCAAAAGAUGGCAGCAGCUUUUCCACAGCUCUUUCGCUGGAGCAUUUCCUGGGCAUCUGGACCACGGCGGGUCUGCGGCUGCUGCGCUCUGGGUCCUGUGCUUCAAAGCCAUGCAUUCACCAACUCAUUAGGCCAGUUAAGGGGCGAUAAAGGCACAAAUCUGUUGGAGUUUAGUCUCAUUCAUUUCUUUCAGAGGAGCUUGCAAGGAAGCCCCUGUCAGCUUUUGGAACGGGAACAGAAUCUCAAAAGUCUGGCAUGAGAAACAGCUGAAGG
rnacentral:lncRNA from 1 species